CCUCUGCCGUUAUUAUGAAAAAAUGGGUUCGCUAAUCCUUUCCCCGUCUCCUCUCGCGUGAAGCGCAGCAAGGGGCCGACGGGAGAUCUAGGGUUUCGCCGCAGGCUCCCCUUCGGCCGGCCGGCCGCCGCCUGUCCGGCCCCGCUCGGCGCCGCCCCUGUUGGUCCCCGCCCGUCACUGCCCAGCGCCGCCCCACCCGACCCCGCCGCCACCCGACGCCGCCCCUGCUCGUCCCGCCCGACGACGCCGCCCCUGUUCCCGUUUCUCUCCGGCCAUCUUCCCACAGGCCACACUGUCUCUCCCUCUCCCUCCGCCUGCAGCUGUCGCACGCCAUUUUCCUCUCCCUCCGACCGUCGAUAGCUACCGGGGCUGCGGGGCCCCGCAGGGGCCGGAGGCGGGGCCGUUCCUAGAGGCCCCACCUGCGCCGGCGCCGCCGCAGCAGCAGCAACGAUGAGCAAGAGCGGCGGCGCGGCGGCGGGGCCGACGGCGGCGGCCGCGGCAGCCGCGGUGCAGAAGCAGAAGACGCUUCUCCAGAAGGCUGACGCCGACGUCUCCAGCCUCGUUGACAACUUCGCCGCCCUCAUCAACAUCGCGCGCGUCAACGACCCGCCGGUGCGCAACACGCAGGAGGCCUUCCAGAUGGACAUGCGCGGCUCCCGCAUGGUACAUUCAGCUGAUUCUCUGUUGAAACUAGUGUCAGAGCUUAAGAGAACAGCUAUCUUUUCUGGGCUUGCUUCUUUAACUGAAAAUGUGGAUAGGCGGAUUGAAAUCUUUAGUCAACAAGUUGAAGGAACAGAGAGAAUGCUGGAGAGGAUUGGGCAGGAAGCAGCAGGAAGCCUCAAAGAGUUGGAGGCACAUUACUACUCAUCUGUUGUGCGAACACCACCGGAUGAAUGAGCACCCGUCUACGUGGCUUAAGAACAAAAAAUGGUGCAAAAUUUCAAGAAAAUUAGUCCAUUACUGCUACAAAACCAAAGGCAAGAAUGGCCACAAGACAGCAAAUCAAGAACCAAUCUUUCUUCAGAAAGCAGCCGCAAGGAAGAGAAGAAGAAGGAGGCGGCUGUACGGUUGCCGCGAGGCCAGAGCUAAUGCCGGCUCAGGCAACCAUCCUCCUCACGAACAGAAUUAUGCAAAAACAGCAGAUUUGUACCCAUGACAAUUAAGUACCGAUUCUCAGGAACUCCAUUAGGGCUUGUUCGGUUGGGCCAUUCCUGGCUGGGAUCGGGGCCCAAUCCCCAUGGAAAAUCCCGGCGUGGAAAGGAUACCGGCCCACGCAAGUAUAGGCGUUCGGUUAAGCCGAGGCGAGAUUUUAUCCCGGCCCACCCCGGUGUUUUCCCCUCGUCAUCGGCCGGGAAAUAUUCAGCUUCUUUGGUGGCGAGGAAAAAAUCCUCUUGACGCGGCGACACAACGAGAGGGGGCGCUGCGGCGGGGACGGCUGCACGGCGCGGUGCGACUCCGACGCGACGGCGACGGCACGCUCUCUCCUCCGGCAGUUGACUCCUCCGGUGGCCACCUUCUUCCCGGCUUUGGGAGGAAGUCUGAGAGGAUGGUGGUUCAGAUACAGAGUGAAUGAGCAGACAUGUACAAGAUGAUGGCUUUUUGCAGGAGCAACAAAUGUUGAUCUCUGAACCAUUGUAUAUUGCUGAUGUAACCAUUUGGUCAAGGAGUCCUGGUGUGGCAGCUCACAUUUAUUUUUAUAGCUCAAGUGAAUCAUGACAUAGUUUCAUCUUUUUCUUUUUUUAUUGUCAAAUUUCACUACUAUGACUGUAUUUAGUUGUCUCUGUAUUGUCAAGUGACCUCAAGCUUUGUUGGGUGAUGCCUCCUUGCCUUAAACCGGAUACAGGCCUUGAUGAUACUGCAAUAUUUUUGUUUUAAUGAUUAAUCAAUGUGGUUUUCGCGUAA